rnacentral:rRNA from 1 species
UACGUAGGGGGCAAGCGUUGUCCGGAAUCAUUGGGCGUAAAGAGCGCGUAGGCGGCCCUGUAAGUCCGCUGUGAAAGUCAAGGGCUCAACCCUUGGAUGCCGGUGGAUACUGCAGGGCUAGAGUCCGGAAGAGGCGAGUGGAAUUCCUGGUGUAGCGGUGAAAUGCGCAGAUAUCAGGAGGAACACCGGUGGCGAAGGCGGGACUCUGGGCCGAUACUGACGCUGAGGAGCGAAAGCGUGGGGAGCGAACAGG